AUUGAACGCUGGCGGCAUGCCUUACACAUGCAAGUCGAACGGCAGCAUGGAGAGCUUGCUCUCUGAUGGCGAGUGGCGAACGGGUGAGUACUGCAUCGGAACGUACCGUGUAAUGGGGGAUAACGUAGCGAAAGUUACGCUAAUACCGCAUACGACCUGAGGGUGAAAGCAGGGGAUCGCAAGACCUUGCGUUAUACGAGCGGCCGAUGUCAGAUUAGCUAGUUGGUGAGGUAAAGGCUCACCAAGGCGACGAUCUGUAGCGGGUCUGAGAGGAUGAUCCGCCACACUGGGACUGAGACACGGCCCAGACUCCUACGGGAGGCAGCAGUGGGGAAUUUUGGACAAUGGGGGCAACCCUGAUCCAGCCAUGCCGCGUGAGUGAAGAAGGCCUUCGGGUUGUAAAGCUCUUUCGGCCGGGAAGAAAUCGCACAGGCUAAUACUCUGUGUGGAUGACGGUACCGGCAUAAGAAGCACCGGCUAACUACGUGCCAGCAGCCGCCGUAACAC
rnacentral:rRNA from 1 species